AGAAAUCAAUGUGGACUGAACAUAAAUCACCUGAUGGAAGGACUUACUACUACAACACUGAAACCAAACAGUCUACCUGGGAGAAACCAGAUGAUCUUAAAACACCUGCUGAGCAACUCUUAUCUAAAUGCCCCUGGAAGGAAUACAAAUCAGAUUCUGGAAAGCCUUACUAUUAUAAUUCUCAAACAAAAGAAUCUCGCUGGGCCAAACCUAAAGAACUUGAGGAUCUUGAAGGAUACCAGAAUACCAUUGUUGCUGGAAGUCUUAUUACAAAAUCAAACCUGCAUGCAAUGAUCAAAGCUGAAGAAAGCAGGU
rnacentral:lncRNA from 1 species